CCUACGGGGGGCAGCAGUGGGGAAUAUUGCACAAUGGGGGAAACCCUGAUGCAGCAACGCCGCGUGAGUGAAGAAGUAUUUCGGUAUGUAAAGCUCUAUCAGCAGGGAAGAAGAUGACGGUACCUGAAUAAGAAGCCCCGGCUAACUACGUGCCAGCAGCCGCGGUAAUACGUCGGGGGCAAGCGUUAUCCGGAUUUACUGGGUGUAAAGGGAGCGCAGACGGCAUUGCAAGUCUGGAGUGAAAGCCCGGGGCCCAACCCCGGAACUGCUCUGGAUACUGUGGGGCUAGAGUGCAGGAGGGGCAGGCGGAAUUCCUAGUGUAGCGGUGAAAUGCGUAGAUAUUAGGAGGAACACCAGUGGCGAAGGCGGCCUGCUGGACAGUAACUGACGUUGAGGCACGAAAGCGUGGGGAGCAAACAGGAUUAGAUACCCUGGUAGUC
rnacentral:rRNA from 1 species